rnacentral:rRNA from 1 species
CGAAUGAACCAGCCCUGAAAAUGGAUGGCGCUACAUUGCGGUGCCGAUACUCAACCAUCAGAGCAAAUAUGAGGCUUUGAUGAGUAAGAGGGCGUGGGAGUAGUGUAGAAGCUGUGACGUGAGUCGAGGUGGAACUGCUCUCAGUGCAGAUCUUGGUGGUAGUAGCAAUUAUUCAAAUGUGAACUUUGAAGGCCGAAGUGGAGAAGGGUUCCAUGAGAACAGUAAUUGGUCAUGGGUUACUCGGUCCUAAGAUGUAGGGAAAUUCUUCUAUGUAAGUGCUAUUUGCACGAUGUCAAAAGGGAAAGAGGUUAACAUUCCUCUAGCCUGUCGAGGAUAUUUUGCGGUAACGCAAACGAGCUCCGUAACACCAGCACGAACCCUGGGAGGAAUUCUCUUUUCUUUUUAACUGCUUAUCGCCUUGGAAUUGGAUUAUCCAGAGAGAUGGCUUUAUGGCAGGAAGAGCGAGACACCAUUUGUCUCGUCCGGUGCGUUCGUGAUGGUCAGUGAAAAUCGGGGGGAGAUUAUUAUUUGCUCGCAGGUCCGUACCAACAACCGC